rnacentral:lncRNA from 1 species
UUUGUUUUGGGGCCCGUGGUGAGACAGCACCUUGGCAGCCACACAAGGUGGGUCAGGCUGUUCACCUCAUAUGGCCACAAGGCAGAGAGAGGAGGAGACCAGAACCCCUAAUCCCAUUCCAGGGCAGCCCCCAAAGACUUCCCACUAGGCCCUUCCCCUUAAAGGUUCUUCCACCUCCCAAUGAGCCACACUGAGGACCAAGGUUUCAACAUGCAGGGCCUGCGGACAUUCCCGAUGCAAUAUCACAGGUGGCGUGUUCUGGCAGUGUUUUACAGAUGAGAUCUGCAGUGCACAGAAUGUGUUUGGCCUCUUACCACUUAUUCCCUCUGUGGCCAGAAGGUGGGGAGGAGGCACAGGAAGCAGAGGCUUGCUUAGGUCUCCCUCCUUGCUCAUCGCUGUGGGUUCACCAGGUGUCAGGGGACAUCCCGGGCUUGCCCCACUGCUUGAAAAACAUCAUCUCGUCUCAUUUUCAGCUGCACACAUUUGUGCCUGAAGCAACCUCUGCAGGGGUCAUGCCAGGAAAGAAGGGUGAGGAGCACCCUAACCCCAAAGCCACCCAACAUGGAUGGGAUCUUAGAUGCAGCAAAUCCUGUCAAUGCGAAGAUCUGUGCGGAAGUUGCAAAUGUCAGAAAGUGGCACGUCCCUG